rnacentral:rRNA from 1 species
GACGAACGCUGGCGGCGUGCUUAACACAUGCAAGCCGAACGAUGAAGCCGGAGCUUGCUCUGGUGAAUUAGUGGCGAACGGGUGAGUAACACGUGAGUAACCUGCCCUUGACUCUGGGAUAACUGCGGGAAACUGUAGCUAAUACCGGAUACGACCCUCGGAGGCAUCUCCUGGGCGUGGCAAGAAUUUCGGUCAAGGAUGGACUCGCGGCCCAUCAGCCAGUUGGUGAGGUAAAGGCUCACCAAGGCGACAACGGGUAGCCGGCCUGAGAGGGUGACCGGCCAAACUGGGGCGGAGAGACGGCCCAGACGCCGACGGGAGGAAGCAGUGGGGAAAAGUGCACAGUGGGCGCGAGCCUGAUGCAGCAACGCCGCGUGGGGGAUGUCGGCCUUCGGGUUGUAAGCCUCUUUUAGCAGGUAAGAAGCGAAAGUGACGGUACUGGCAGAAAAAGCACCGGCUAACUACGUGCCAGCCGCCGCCGUAA